CAUGCGGCGGCUGGGCAUGCGACGGCUGGGGCUGGGCAUGCGGCGGCUGGGCAUGCGGCGGCUGGGCAUGCGGUGGCUGGGGCUGGGCAUGCGGUGGCUGGGCAUGCGGUGACUGGGCAUGCGGUGGCUGGGGCUGGGCAUGCAGUGGCUGGGCAUGCGGUGACUGGGCAUGUGCUCCGCGAGACCGACGUGCGACUCCGGCGCUGUUGGCCUGUGGACGGCGACGCUCGCCGGUUGGGAGCGUGAGACUCGCGCCUGGGGGAACGUCGCUUCCCUCCGUGACGUUUGUCAAGCGUCCCCUCGGUAGAAACUUACACGUAGUACUUUAAUUGUUACCAUUAAAUAUUAUUAUUCUGCUUUAUCGAAUUACGUUAUUAUAAAUAUAUAUAAUUCUGCUUUUACAAAUUACGCGAUGUGAAACUGAUGACUGUAAGGUUCACUGUGCCGAGCUGUAUUUUUUCAAUCCGCACCCCCCAUGAGUGCGGCUGGCUACGUACGGUGCACAAGAAGUGCAACCGUACAUCGAUCGAGCCGUCAUGGUUUUUGUAAGUCACUGGAUGAUCCACAUACCACACGUGGCAGCACGCUCUGUCGCUCCAGCAAACUGGCUCGUGAGCGUUCCUCAGCUUCGUGUUUGACAGCCAAUAGCCAGACCGCAAUAGUAUACACGUAACUUUGUUUUAGCUUAAGCUGGGAAAUGGAAUUCAGUUUUUACGUGUGCGAAAAUAUGUCCACGUACCUGUGUGUGUGUGUUCGUUUGGGUGGGGAGCGAUGGCUACGAACCCUACGGCCUGAGUUCGAUUCCUGCUCGCAGCCACUAACCCCAGCGAUGAUUAUCUGAACCGGUUCUCGGCCUCCCCUAGGUCGACUCAGCCUCAAACGAGUACCUGGUGCGGUGUGUAAACAUCGCCACUAGGGAGACAAAGACGGACCGGGCGUGGUGCUGGCCACCUACCCACCCCCCUCGUGUGGCACUGCGCCGGCCUUCACAGGUGCUGCUCACUAGCAUCACUUGCCCAAACAGUCUGUUAAGGCUAUACGGGGGAUCUUUGUUCUUUGUUGUGUGCAAAUACUGGUGUGUGUGUGUGUGUGUAUACUGGCGUACGUAGUGGGGAACAGCCACAAACUCUGCAAUCCGAGUUCAAUUCCCGGCCGCCGCUAACAUCGGUGGGCGGUUAACGGAACUGGUCCUGGGCCUCCCCUAGCUUCACUCAGCCAAAAUGAGUAUGGCGGGUAAGGUAUGAAAACAAAACCACUUAGGAAGACAAAGACGGUCUGGCGUGGUGCUGGCAACACCAGCCCCCUGUUUUACCAUCCUGGCCUUCAUCGGUGCUCGCGGACAGCGUUUUCCCCAACAUGCUGUGUCGGCUGUACGGGGAUGGUCUUUGUGCGUUUACUGGUUUCUUUGUGCGCCUGUGCUCGAGUUUGUGCCGUCAGGUCUAGCACGGUGCAUCCCCACACCGGCGGUUAUGUGAGCCGUGGCAGACACGGCGACGCGGCGUUUUCUUCUUAACUGUGAGCAACAUGGGCAUCCAACCCUAGCACCGCCCGCCCUCUGUUAGCAUAGAAACUGGGUAGCUUUACAAAUACUCUACGGGGUAGCUUUGCUAAUACUAUACUGGAGACCAUCAUCCUGAGUGUUUUUUUACACAGGUGGUGUGAUCAGGGUUUGCUAUGUCGAGCCAGACAACGCCGUUGUUUUGUUUCAUAUUACACUGUGCUUUCAACACUGUAGUGCGGUCGAGGGUUUAGGAGCUUCUAAGAGAGCGGGCGAGAUGGGUGAGGAGAGGAGUUAGCGGAGACGUCGCCACAGCCAGGCCUCAGGUCUUGGUCCCUGCGCGCCCAUGCGCCAGCUUCCUCGGCGCGACAGCUCAGGCGGUCUGCAUGACGCGCACGCAGAGACCGUGAACACGGUCGGCACUGCCCGUAGGUACAAAGGUGCAAGGAUUCAUGGGGCGCUACGGUGGCUAGGAGAUGUUUACCACCUCGCCUGCUACACAGGAGGUCAUGGGUUCGAUCCCGACCCUGACGCCUGCUGUGUAUUUGGAGUUUGCGUCUCUCUCCCCGUGGUCGCGUGGAUUUUUCUCCGGGUCCAACGGGUUUUCCCUCCACAUUUAGAAUCAAGGUCACGCGUUUCGAGUAUUUGGCGGCUAUAAAUUUCCACGUGAUAAGCUACUUUGUUGAGCUAUCACUUGUGAUAGCCAGGUCACUUCUGAAAAAGAGCUAAAUAGCUCAGUGGGCCUUACCAGGUAAAAUACAAAAUUGUUAAAUAGUUAGUUUAUAAAUGCAGUCUAAAUCGUGACUGCCACGUUGGGCGCGGAACGCAGCGGCUCCUCGCGGAUCUUCAGGGUGAAGAUUUAAAUUUCCUUUGGGAUUCCGAUCGCUGACCAGAGCAUUCCAGUUGUGUGGAUCAUGUUUCCCGAGAUGUUGCUUCCAUUUUUUUACCUUUUUAUAAAGUAAGUUCAGACAACUGCUGCACAGGCGGUGUUCGGUUUACGACGGUCCAAUUCACGACGAUGGGGUUCCUAGGAACACGUCGUGACGUCGUAAAAGCGGGGGCCGACUGUAAUCUGGUACCUGCAGCUCAACUACUCCCAUGUGGGGGGCGUGGAGGGCGUGCAUACCACACAUGGGGGAUGGGGGCUCUGGCGGUGAAUCGCACCCCGCUGCUCAACGCUCACCCAACGUCCGCUACAAGCCGCGCGCUCUCUCUAGAGAGUCACGCGAACUUCUCGCCUGGACAUUUGUUUUUAAGUAACGUCCGCUCGACGGAGAUCUGAACACGUGAGCUGUCGCUGAUGGCAUCUAUUGUUACGCGCUCUGACCCAAAAACGUUUAUUAUGAAUAAUAUUGGUCGCGAAAGCCUACGUGUUAAACUGCUGGCAUCGCCUCUUCUCCUAAAGAAUGUUGUUUUAGGCAAUAUUGAAUCAAAUACGUAGUUGUUCAAAUAUGUCACGUUUUGGUAUUUGUUAGUAUUUGUAGGAUUAUUGACAUUGAUCAAAAUCUGGCGAUGCUGUGCAGCAGCGGUUAGAUUUUGUGAUUAUAAAUCGCUGUCGGCGGUCCGCCGGGCCCAGAGAAAAUCUGCACCAAGCUCUGUGAUUCUCAGAAGCAAGUUCUGUCUGGCGGUUUUUGAAACCGAGAUAUAAUGUGAAUGUCAGUCUCUCUGAGUCUCUCGACCCAGAGUCCCUUUCUACCCACAUCUCUAGACCCCGUGUCUCUAUGCUCCACAAAUACAGGCCAUUUGAUCGACUGUGGGUUCCACAGAGCCAGGAGCUCGAAUCGUUGAGAGACUGACUCCACCUCCAAACUAUUUUUAAACUAGUUUCGAUAUAAAUGCACCGUUUGUAUCAAUGAGUGAGUGAUUCCCUGAUUUUGAACAAAGCCAUAACUGUUGCUGACGGUUACUAGGACGGCCAUAUUUAUCUUCAGAAAUGCUCGAUUUUGUAUUGUUUUAAAGAUUGCAGUAUGCAUAGGUUUAAUUAGUUUAUCGUAUUCGUGUUGGUUUUUUUUAGCUACGGGAAUACAUUAUGAGGGUGUUUUUAUUAUUAUUAAGAGACUGUUAUUAAUAUAUAUAUGUCGCGUUAUUAAAGUCGUUGCGGGGUGGCCGCGGGGCGCUGCACGGACCAGUCAAGCGGCGUCCCACUCCCCGGGACCCGAGCGGCGCCGCCGCCGUCGGCCCACGGAGAUCACCUCUCCCAGACCACCACGCAGACAAACCGGCGGCGUCUCUUGCGUCAAGUAAAAUCCUCUCCGCGACGGUUCCUCGGAGGAGUUCCGCACGGCCUCGUGGGAGCGCCGCGGGCGCCCGGACCGCAGGUUGGGGACGGCGGCUCUCCGGGCUCUUCGGAGACGGCGGCGCCAUCGCACAGCCGUGCGCUGGAAGAGCGGCGGUCUGGCGGUCGCCCUUCGCUCCCCUCGGGGGGCGUGAAGGGCGAGCGACGUCGAUUGCGGCUGCGAUGCGGCGAUGCGCCGCGUGGAUCGCGGCGACGGUUACGCAUGGCCGGAGCUGGCCGUGAUUCGGAACGCGAACGUUCGUGCGGUUCGACUCCUGGCGACGCUCACGUUGAGAGGCUGAUUUUGAGUGACCGGGAGGCGAGAACGCAUUUGUUCUCGUUGGGCAGGUGUGGGAAUCGUUGAACAAUCUGUGACAACCAGAACAUCUUGAGCAGCGUGUGCACACGUGGUGAGAUGUUAACUCCCUUGCCUGGUAUACAGGAGGUCGUGGAUUCGAUCUCGACCCUGACGCCUGCUAUACAUUUGAAGUUUGCGUGUCUCUCUCUCCCCGUGGUCACGUGGAUAUUUCUCCUGGUCCUCUGGUUUUUCCGUCCAUAGUCAGAAGCGGCAUCACGCAUUUAGAGUAUUUGGCUGCUGCUGCUAUAAAUGUCCACGUGAUGAUGAGCCACAUCGUUGAGCUCUCGUUCGUGAUAGCCAGGUCGCUUCUGCAAAAAGAGCCAUACAGUGGGUGCCUUACCCGGUAAAUGAAAAAUAGAUCGUGGUUUUUAGUUCAGAGGGGCCAUAAGGAAGUGGGUUCCACGUUGGCCGUGACGUGUCACCCAGCCUCUGCCGCGUGAAGGCCGUGCAUCUCUCCAUCUCGGCGCGGCUGCUUCUCGGCUCUCUCCCCGUUAUUAGCUGGGGCCGCCACCCUCGCUCACGUGAGGUGCUCCACCUCACGUGAGACGCUCCACCCCACGUGAGACGCUCCACCUCACGUGAGGUGGAGCUCCACCCCACGUGAGGUGGAGCUCCACCCCACGUGAGACGCUCCACAUCACGUUCGACAUCGAGCGGCAGCGUCCAGAGGGAAGAGAAUUGGAAUCGCGAAUGUGGCGGCCGUGCCCCAACCGCGGUGCGGUGUUUACUGCGCGCUGACGACGACGACGACCGCAGAAUUACUCAAAGCCAACGGUUUUUCCUAUAUUUUAAAGACGCGCUCCUAUUUAGAAUUUCUAACACGUUAAAGCACUUUUAGAAUGUUUCUUUUUCUAAAUAUAUAUUUAGGUUAUGUAAUUUAGAAUGGUUUUUAUUUUUAUGUAAUUUGUGGACCUCUUGAAUUGCGGUGGUUGUUAGUAUUAAUAUAUUUUGAUGUUCGGCCAGUGACUGACUCUCAGUCGGAUGUUGGUCGCGUAGUACGCUGGGUGCAAAGGUCUAGGGGCACUCUGUGUCCGUACGUGGUUAUUCAAAUAUACUGCACUUUCAAUAAACCAAAGACAAUACUUAAAUCACACACUUAGUUCGUUGUAAAUUUCUAGUAACCUACUUUAAUUAUAUUCGAAAUUGUUUAAAAAAUAUAUAUAACUUUUAAGCUUUGAAAAUGCAGAGGUGAAAUUAAAUAGCACGCCGCGGAAUUAAUAUUGGGGUCUGUAUUAUUUAUGUAUCGCAUCCAGAGGUGUCGGAGAUUCCUACUUAGAUAUAUUUAAAAUGAUGCGGUGUAUAGUGACGACCGACGUUGAGGCUGGGCUGCAGUAUUUCUCUGUCGCGGUCGUCACAGCUCGAGGGAGCGGUGGCCACCCCACGCCUCCCACCCCACGCUCGCCACCCCACGCCUGCCACCCCACGCCUGCCACCCCACGCCUGCCACCCCACGCCUGCCACCCCACGCCUGCCACCCCACGCCUGCCACCCCACGCCUGCCACCCCACGCCUGCCACCCCACGCCUGCCACCCCACACUCGCCACCGAGCCGGCUGUGGUGGCCACGGCCCCGUACGCGACGGUGCCACGGGGCGCCGACGCCACGUGUGCGCGUGUGUGUGGCCACGGAGAGAAAGAAACGGGAAAUUAAAAAUUCGUCUGUAACAAUGAUUGUGAUUAAACAAUAAAAAUGGAAUUCAGGCAGAGGGAGACCGCCGCGUGCGCGGAUCCUGAGGUUGUCCCAAAGAUCGUGGCACCAGAAGGGGCGACGCGGUGGCUAGGAGAUGUUCACUCCCUCGCCCGCUAUACGGGAGGUCGUUCGGUUCGAUCCAGACUCUAACACCUCCUGUAUAUCUUGAGUUUGCGUGUCUCUCUCUCCCCGUGGUCAUGUGGAUUUUCUCCGGGUCCUCCGGGUUUUCCCUACACAAUUGGAAUCAACAUCAUGCGUUUAGAGUAUUUGGCUGUUAUACAUUUCCACACGACAAGCCACUUCGUUGAACUAUCAUCUGUGAUAGCCAGGUCGCUGCUGAAAACGAGCCAUACAGCUCAGUGGGCCUUACCUGGUAAAACGUAAAAUAGUAAAUAGUGGGAAGAAAUUAACACGAUGGUGAGCCUGGUUAAACCAACCCUCCCUAGAAUGCGUGGGACAAUCAAACGCCGUAAUUAUUAAACUAUUAACCAGCUAUAUUGGUCUACAUUCCAAAGGAAGAUACUAAACACAGAUGUAUUAAAUUGUAUAUUUGGGGGAGAGUAUAACAGUAUCCCUCGUGAGAUGUGUUGUGGCGAUGGCGUGCGUUGGUCUGCAUCCAGCAGUGGAUAUAUCCUGGCUGAUGAUGGUGAUCAGGUAUUCUGUUGCAAAAUCGACAUGCCAAAGAUGAUGGAAACAAAUUUUAACCAGUGACCAAACGUAUGUUAUUACAGAGUUCGCAGUCCAAAGUCCUAUGCAAUCAAUUAUUAAAACGCCAAUAUCAUGGGGGAAUUAGAUGUAUUGGGCAUAGUUUUGAUUUGAUCAUAUUGGCUUCAUAUCCAGACCAGCCAGACUUUGGUAGAGCAUCCAAAAGGGUAGGGAUAUACAUCUGUUACAAUUAGGAAUAUUUACAGUGGCAUGUACUUUGUAUUAUUAAAGGGCGCCACGGUGGGUAGGAGAUGUUAACUUCAUCGCCUGGUAUACAGGAGGUCGUGGGUUCGAUCCCAACCCAGACGCCUGCUGCUGUAUAUUUGGAGUUUGCAUCUUCUCCCCGUGGUCGCGUGGAUUUUUCUCCGGGUCCUUUAGUUUUCCCUCGACAUUUAGAAUCGUGAGUAUUUGGCUGCUAUCAAUUUACACACAAUCAGCCACUUGAGCUAUCAUUUGUGGCCAGGUCGCUUCUGACAAAGUGCCACAUGAGCUGAAGUAAACGUAAAUCAUUGUUGAGGAGUAGAAUGUUGGGAGCGCCACGGCAGUGAGAAGUCGGAGCCUCGCUCAGUCGCGAGUCUGCGGCGAGGCGCUGGAGCAGCAGAGGGCGCACACGUGACACCCGGAGCCCGCGUUGCCAACUGAGACGACGUGACCCCGGGACUCCGUGGGCGACAGCGGCAGCAGUGGUGGUGGUGCCAACGCGGCGAUGUUCACCGCAGACACCAAGUCGCGCAGAUCCUAGGAGCGCUCCCUGCCUCUCGUCACUUGAGCGUGUUCAGUAACUUAGCAAAUCAUCGCGUGACAAUAAUUGACCAUUUAAGUCACUUUGAGGACACGUGGAGACUUCCCGCUUUCAGGAGUUGGCAACUCACGUGGACGAGACGCCAGCUCGGCGCCCGGUUAGAGUCGGGGGUAAACGUUUUGACACUUUUAUUUUUAAACUAAUACUCACCACAAUAAAUAUAUACCAUUCAUUUAGCAUUUUAAGUUUGUUUUUAACCAUUAAAGCCCGGUGGAAUAUUCACAUUGCUGUUGUUGUUGUUGUAACUUGCUGGCCCGCCCCCCUUACCGGACAUCUGUGAAAAGAGCUUCAUAGCUCAUCGGAUUCCUCCUGCUGCUGCUGCUGCCGCAGUCUCAAUGCAGUUGCUGGUUGUGACGUUGCGCAUGAGCUGAACACGGAUCUCUCAGUCUGCUGCUCGCCACGACGCGAGGGCUUCAGCAGAGGCGGAGGUUCCGUGUCGUCUUGAUGCGACUCCUCUGUGGAAUGAGCGCAGACCACAGCAGCAAUAGUCCCCAAGGCGAAUAUCAGAGUAACAGCAAUGUGUCAUCGCUGUGCUACAAGUACAAUGGCCACUUCUCGACACGUUUCAAGCAAGCUGUGUGGACUUUCUUUGAACUGUUUCCGUUUAAUUAAUCUCGCUGUCUGCAGACUUGUGGCACACACACCACGUGACACGCGCGUGCACACAACAUGCCACGCGUCCACGUUUAACAAGAGCAAUGUGAACCCUCCAUGCAAGUUGCUGUGAUGACUUCCUUGAUUCUCACGUGGCCUUUAUAUUUUUAGGAAGAUAAUUAUAUUUAAUAAUACAUUUUAAUAAGAAAGUAUUUUUUUUUACUAUGAAAUGUUUAAUCGCUAUGAAAGAGUCUGCCGUUUUAAUCGUUGGUACAAUCUGUUUGAGUUCGUUGUUGUGGUUGUAUCACACUCUGUACUAGACGGUAGAAUGUAUUACGAAUAAAUUGGGUAUGGAUGAGGAGUGUCGAGUGU